ensembl:snRNA Gm23111 predicted gene, 23111
GUGCUCGCCUUGGCAGCAUAGACACUAAAAUUAGAACAAUACUGAGAAGAUUAGCAUGGUCAUAGAGAUGACACGCAAAUUAUGAAGCCUUCCAUAUUUACAAAAUGAAACAACCCAGA